CACGUAGUUAGCCGGGGCUUUCUCGUGAGGUACCGUCACCGCGCCGCCUUCUUCAAACGGCGCUCCUUCGUCCCUCACAACAGAGCUUUACGACCCGAAGGCCUUCUUCGCUCACGCGGCGUCGCUCCGUCAGGCUUUCGCCCAUUGCGGAAGAUUCCCUACUGCUGCCUCCCGUAGGAGUCUGGGCCGUGUCUCAGUCCCAGUGUGGCCGGUCACCCUCUCAGGCCGGCUACGCAUCGUCGCCUUGGUGAGCCGUUACCUCACCAACUAGCUAAUGCGCCGCGGGCCCAUCCGCAAGUGACAGCCCAAAGGCCGCCUUUCAACCGAAGACCAUGCGGUCUUCGGUGUUAUCCGGUAUUAGCUCCGGUUUCCCGGAGUUAUCCCGGUCUUGCGGGCAGGUUGCCCACGUGUUACUCACCCGUCCGCCGCUGACCAAACAAGAGCAAGCCCUCGUUCGGUCCGCUCGACUUGCAUGUAUUAGGCACGCCGCCAGCGUUCGUCCUGAGCCAGGAUCAAACUCU
rnacentral:rRNA from 1 species